AUUGAACGCUGGCGGCAGGCCUAACACAUGCAAGUCGAGCGAGCGGCGGACGGGCGAGUAAAGUAUGGGGACUGCCCGAUAGAGGGGGAUAACUACUGGAGACGGUAGCCAAUACCGCAUACUAUCGGAUAACCCAUAUGUGAUUAGCCAGUAGGUGAGGUAAAGGCUCACCUAGGCGACGAUCCCUAGCUGGUUUGAGAGGAUGAUCAGCCACAGUGGGACUGAGACACGGCCCAGACGCCUACGGAGGCAGCAGUGGGGAAUAUUGCAGAAUGGGCGCAAGCCUGAUGCAGCCAUGCCGCGUGUAUGAAGAAGGCCCUAGGGUUGUAAAGUACUUUCAGUCGGGAGGCGUUACCGACAGAAGAAGCACCGGCUAACUCCGUGCCAGCAGCCGCGGUAAUUC
rnacentral:rRNA from 1 species